rnacentral:rRNA from 1 species
GACGAACGCUGGCGGCGUGCUUAACACAUGCAAGUCGAACGGAAAGGCCCUGCUUUUGUGGGGUGCUCGAGUGGCGAACGGGUGAGUAACACGUGAGUAACCUGCCCUUGACUUUGGGAUAACUUCAGGAAACUGGGGCUAAUAUCGGAUAGGAGCUCCUGCUGCAUGGUGGGGGUUGGAAAGAUUCGGCGGUUGGGGAUGGUAUCGCGGCUUAUCCGCUUGUUGGUGGGGUAGUGGCUUACGAAGGCUUUGACGGGUAGCCGGCCUGAGAGGGUGGCCGGCCACAUGGGGACUGAGAGACGGACCAGACUCCUACGGGAGGCAGCGGGGGGGAAUAUUGCACAAUGGGCGGAAGCCUGAUGCAGCAACGCCGCGUGCGGGAUGACGGCCUUCGGGUUGUAAACCGCUUUCGCCUGUGACGAAGCGUGAGUGACGGUAAUGGGUAAAGAAGCACCGGCUAACUACGUG